GAUGAACGCUGGCGGCGUGCCUAAUACAUGCAAGUCGAGCGAGCAGACGAGGAGCUUGCUCCUCUGACGUUAGCGGCGGACGGGUGAGUAACACGUGGAUAACCUACCUAUAAGACUGGGAUAACUUCGGGAAACCGGAGCUAAUACCGGAUAAUAUAUUGAACCGCAUGGUUCAAUAGUGAAAGACGGUUUUGCUGUCACUAUAAGUGGGUCCGCGCCGCAUUAGCUAGGUGGUAAGGUAACGGCUUACCAAGGCAACGAUGCGUAGCCGACCUGAGAGGGUGAUCGGCCACACUGGAACUGAGACACGGUCCAGACUCCUACGGGAGGCAGCAGUAGGGAAUCUUCCGCAAUGGGCGAAAGCCUGACGGAGCAACGCCGCGUGAGUGAUGAAGGUCUUCGGAUCGUAAAACUCUGUUAUUAGGGAAGAACAAAUGUGUAAGUAACUAUGCACGUCUUGACGGUACCUAAUCAGAAAGCCACGGCUAACUACGUG
rnacentral:rRNA from 1 species